rnacentral:rRNA from 1 species
AUUGAACGCUGGCGGCAGGCCUAACACAUGCAAGUCGAACGGUAACAGAACUAGCUUGCUAGUUGCUGACAAGUGGCGGACGGGUGAGUAAUACUUAGGGAUCUGCCUCUGUGUGGGGGAUAACUAUUGGAAACGAUAGCUAAUACCGCAUAACGUCUACGGACCAAAGAGGGCUUCGGCUCUCGCGCAGAGAGGAACCUAAGCGAGAUUAGCUUGUUGGUGAGGUAAAGGCUCACCAAGGCGACGAUCUCUAGCUGUUCUGAGAGGAAGAUCAGCCACACUGGAACUGAGACACGGUCCAGACUCCUACGGGAGGCAGCAGUGGGGAAUAUUGCACAAUGGGGGCAACCCUGAUGCAGCCAUGCCGCGUGUGUGAAGAAGGCCUUCGGGCUGUAAAGCACUUUCAGUUGUGAGGAAAGGUUAGUAGUUAAUACUGCUAGCUGUGACGUUACACAGAGAAGCACCGGCUACUCCGUGCCAGCAGCCGCGGUAUACGGAGGGUGCGAGCGUUAUCGGAAUUACUGGGCGUAAAGCGCACGCAGGCGGUCUGUUAAGCUAGAUGUGAAAGCCCCGCGCUCAACGUGGGAGGGUCAUUUAGAACUGGCAGACUAGAGUCUUGGAGAGGGGAGUGGAAUUCCAGGUGUAGCGGUGAAAUGCGUAGAGAUCUGGAGGAACAUCAAUGGCGAAGGCAACUCCCUGGCCAAAGACUGACGCUCAUGUGCGAAAGUGUGGGUAGCGAACAGGAUUAGAUACCCUGGUAGUCCACACCGUAAACGCUGUCUACUAGCUGUUUGUGGAUUUAAUCCGUGAGUAGCGAAGCUAACGCGAUAAGUAGACCGCCUGGGGAGUACGGCCGCAAGGUUAAAACUCAAAUGAAUUGACGGGGGCCCGCACAAGCGGUGGAGCAUGUGGUUUAAUUCGAUGCACGCGAAGAGCAUACCUACUCUUGACAUACUAGAACUUUUCAGAGAUGAGUAGUGCGUUCGGAUCUAGAUACAGUGCUGCAUGCUGUCGUCAGCUCGUGUCGUGAGAUGUAR